CAGACGUGAGUUCGUCAAGCAGCAAACCCUCUUGAGUGGAUGUCAGUCUCUGAAGCGGCUGAGACGUGUGACAGGGUGGCCUAAGAUGGGAAUUUUUUGCUCAGGAACUGGGCCUUCUAAACCGGAUUCGGUUGAUGACAACAUGGGGACAAGUGUCAGCUUUCAGCCUCAGUUUCCCCUGCUGAACCGCCACAACGUGACCCCUGUUGAUUAAAGAAGUUUCCUGCAAUGACUACUAACAGCAGUACUUCUACUGAGGU